CCUGUUUUGAGCCUUAACUACGAAGAGUUUUAAGUGAUUCAUUGGGUCUAACAAAUUGGAUUCUAUUAUUGACCAAUUAAGUUUGUUAAAAUUAGGCAAUAAUGAGAAAAAAAACGUGAAUAUAGCAACAAACUGCGAUGAAUGGUGGUGCCCCUGCCCCCGAGCUUCAGCGAGGUGUUACAUGAUUUAGAUUUAAAAAGAUUAACUGAUUCAGAUGCUCGAACAAUCAAACUAGCGAAAAGUGGUUUUCGCUAUUGGUCAAGUGGAUUAGAGAUGAGAUACUGCAAAGAGGACCGCAAGAGUGGUAAUGUUAAAUGUUUUCCCAAACCAUCUAGCUGGCCAGAUUCAGUUAAUGCCAGCACAACUUAGUUUUCUUUAAAAAAUAA